UUCCGCCCGGCCCCGCCGCCAUUUCGGGUCUGUGGGUCGGCCCUGGGCGGACCCCGCGAGAGGUGAACGGGGCCAUGGGGGGAGUGGAGCAUCGCUCUUACGGGGGAAAGGAGCUGUUCAGCCUUGAGAAGAGGCGACUGAGAGGGGACCUCAUCAACGUGUAUAAAUACCUAAAGCGGGGCAGGGGGGAAGGGAGGGGGAGAGGAUGGAUGCAGGCUCUUCUCAGUGGUGCCGAGCAAUAGGACGAGAGGCAAAGGGCAGAAACUGUUGCACAGGAGGUUCCACCUGAACAUGAGGAAGAACUUCCUUACUGUGCAGUGACCGAGCAUUGGAACAGGUUGCCCAGGGAGGUUGUGGAGUUUCCCCUCACUGGAGAUACUCCAGAACCGGCUGGACGCAAUCCUGUUCCAUGUGCUCUAGAUGACCCUGCUUGAGCAGGGAGGUUGGACCAGAUGAGCCACUGUGGCCCCUCCCAACCUUACCCAUCGUGUGCUCUGAGCGAGGAAGUGCUGUUGACGUGUUACUAGUGGUUUCCAUUCACCAUGGAAUUCCCCAGUGAGGAGCAGCUGCUGCUGUGUCAUAAAUGAGACAGUCUUUGCUGUGAAAGGCUUAUGGUACAACACAGCUAAAGAAUGGAAUGAAGUUAAGACCGUUUUCUCUUUUCCUUCCUCUUGCCAGUACCACCUUAGUGACCACACACCACAAGUCACUUCUGGGUUAGAGAUCCUCGUGCCAUGGAGUUCAGGAGCUUCCCCCGCUGUCCUUUGCUACCUGAAAAGUGGGGCAUUGUGCUGGGUUAAGAGGAUCUUCCAAGACAACCUGCCUUUAUUUAUAUGGAUAUACUGGGAUUAAGUCUUCCAGCAGCCUCCACUCCAAGACUGAGGAGCCUUUAUAUAAAUGAAUUACAGCUGUUUGAACUAUCAACCCUCUUGUUGUUAAACUAUUUGGUUAAUUCAGAGAUCCUCUGAGUUCUGAAGAUGGUGUUUUCCAUUCCUAUUCCUACAGUCAUUUAAGUUAUUUAUGACAUAUUUUUAAUUAUUCAAAACACAUUUCUCAGUCUUUUCAGUUCUCAUAUGAAGCAGCUGGCUCCAGUUAGCUGAACGUUAUUGUUAAGCCUCACUUUAAAAUACUUCAAAAUUCUUGUAUAAAUUGCCUUACACUCUUAAUUAAGGGGAAGGAUGUGGCUGUUACAUAAAAAAAACCCUGCUCCCUAAACCAGAAUCCCACAAAUGCAUCCUGCCUGGGGCUACGAGGCUAAAUGGAGCUGAUGUUAAGAAUCAGACAUUCUCAGACAUCACUAAUUUAGUUAAGAGACCACCUGGGAAUCCAUCUUACCCUCCAAGGCAAGGCUAGGAAUGUGUCAAAAUACUAGACCACUGAAGUGGAGAGACAAGCUCCCUCUGGACUUCUUGCCACUGCAGAUACAAACUAUAAGGAAAAGAGGAGACACUUGCCUAAAAUCUAAAUGGUAAAUCUUAGUAAAAUGUACAAAUAUGUCU